UAGCUCAGACGGUAAAGCGUCUGCCUACAAUGCAGGAGACCUGGGUUCGAUCCCUG
rnacentral:tRNA from 1 species